rnacentral:sRNA from 1 species
UGAGAUGGUAUAAUCUGUAUACAUUUGGUUUUUCUGUGUUAAAUUGAGUAUUUUGUGUCCCAUUAUGAUGGCAUUUAUUUUUUAUUUUGAUUGUUAGUUUAUAAUUGUUUUUUUCUUCUUUAAGUCUAUAAUUUUUUCUUACUUUUAGUACAUUUCUUGUGACAUUUGUUGGUUAAGUUCAAUUUUGAAUAGAUGUGAUUUUCAUCUUGCAUAAAAUUUUGUUUUUCCUUUGAUAAACAGCCAAAUCAAUGAUAAGCAUGUGAGAAAAUUGUAAUAUUAAAGACUGUUCCUGUAUAAUUUAAAUAUAUUGUUUAUUGCAACAAUUACAGACUGAUAU